rnacentral:rRNA from 1 species
AGUUGAUCCUGGCGUCAAGGAUGAACGCUAGCGGCAGGCUUAACACAUGCAAGUCGAGGGGCAACGCGAGUAGCAAUACGUUGGCGGCGACCGGCGCAAGGGUGCGUAACGCGUGAGCAACAUGCCCGUAUCAAGGGGGGAUAAUCCAGGGAAACUUGGUCUAAUACCCCAUAGUAAUUUUGUAAGGCAUCUUAUAAGAUUUAAAGCUUUGGUGGAUACGGAUUGGCUCGCGUGACAUUAGCUGGAUGGUAAGGUAACGGCUUACCAUGGCUAUGAUGUCUAGGGGUUCUGAGAGGAAGGUCCCCCACACUGGAACUGAGACACGGUCCAGACUCCUACGGGAGGCAGCAGUGAGGAAUAUUGGAACAAUGGAUGGAAAUCUGAUCCAGCCAUGCCGCGUGGAAAAGGAAGAAGGUCCUAUGGAUUGUAAACUUCUUUUGUAUGGGAGCAAUAAGGCCUACGUGUAGGUUGAUGAGAGUACCAUACGAAUAAGCACCGGCUAACUCCGUGCCAGCAGCUGC